AUGGCGGUAGGAUCGCAGCCGCAGCGCGAGCAGCCUUUCAUGGAAAUCAUAGACUCAAAGAUGACGCGACCGGUUGAGUUGGAGGCCAUGCCGCGCGACCAGGCGUGCACCGUGCGCUUCCGGUGGUGCUCUGUGCUCAUCGCCAACGAGGAUCUCGUCAUAGGGGGACGAAGGACGAGGAGGAAUGUGCACUACGACGAACUGGACGGGAAGGAGCUCACGCUCCCCGUCGACGGCGGCCCCGCCGUGCUCCAGAGCGAGGGCGCCUGCCGCGGCGCCAUCCGCCGGAUGCUAAUGGCGGUGCUGCCGCGCCUCAUGCUGUACAACGGCGGACACCGUACCGAGGAAUGCCAGUGGGACGAGUUCGUGCCCGCGGGUCUCGUGGAGAGCAUCGUGGCCGGCGCGGCGGGCGGCGGGAGCUACGCCUGCCAUGUGUGGAUGCAUGUGAACCUGACGAGCGUGUACGACGAGGCCAAGGCGCUGUUGCUGUCGUGCGAGGCCGCCGAGGCGACGACGGAUGCUGCCGUCCGGCGUGCUUCUGAGGGUGGCGCGGCGAUGUGCCCGAUCUGCAUGGAGGAGCUGGCUGGCGGCGGCCGCCGCGUCACCGGGCUGGCCGGCUGCUCGCACGCCUUCCACAGAGGCUGCAUCCUCGAGUGGUUUCACACGGCGCCGUCGUGCCCGUCCUGCCGGCGUGACAUGAUGCAGUACCUCGAUCCGAGAGCCCGCGCGUACAUGACGGCGGUGCCAGCAAUCAACGCGUACGAGGGAACAGGAAGCGGGGUGCCGCGGCUCGCCGUGGACGACGGCGUGGCGGCGCGGCGGCGUGCUGCGGGGGCUGGAGGCCUAGGUGUUAUUGGAGCGUUUUUUUUUCAUGGUUGGAAACAAGAUGUUCCUGAUGUUGGAGCUCACAGAGAAGGGUAUUAUGAUAGUCUACUUACUUCUGAAGGUGCAUUAGAAGAUAGUGGAUGUCCAGAUUCUUUGGCUUCAGAAAGCAUGACAUUGGCAGGAAUUAUUGAUGACUACUUUGAUGGAUACUUUUCUGAAGAAAUGAUUGUCCCAGGUGGACGUCUACUCUACUCCCUGGGAGUGCUCCUGCUGGAGCUCCUCACCGGCAAGUCUCCGACGCACGCAUCCAUGCAGGACGGCGUCGGCGGCGCGCUCGACCCGCCGUCGUUGGUGCAGUCUGGUGCCACCAUACCACAAAACUCCACGAUCAACGCCAGCAUCAGUCCACGAACCUCGCCUCGGCCAUCAGCCCCGCCUCGCUCGGCCAGCCGCCCCGCCGUCCUCGCCCCUGGUCUCCGCGACGUCCUCGACCCGCUGGACAUCCUCCACCCAACUUGCUGCCUCUCCUCACCCCGGCAUCUUCGCGAUGCCGCCCUCGCCCCAGGUGCCCGCGACGUCCUCCACCCGGUGGACGGCCUCCAGCCGGCGUGCUGCCCUACCUCCGGUGUCAUCACCCCUGCCAGUGCACAGAAGCAAAACAAGCACUCAAGAGGCAGAGGGAAAAUGCCAGGCAACGGCCACGACAAUGAUGCAUAUGGAAUACUGGAGCCGGAUGGCAACACAAACAAUAUUGAUGAAUGUUGUGGAGACGGAAACCUUCUACAAGCUGAAUACCUUGAGCUUGAUGAAGAAGCUAGGAUGUUCGCCCACCAAGAUAUUGAGUUUGAAUCCUACCGAGUUGAACAACGUCACACUGAUGGAACACACACAAAUGAUCCUCAUGCUAUGGUGUACAUGAACCUAUCCAAAAAUCACCACGUCCUUAGAAAAGUUAGGGACUGCCUCCACUGUGGAGCAUUGUGGUUUCAGUAUGAGGGACCUGCAUUUUGUUGCAGAAAGGGGAAAGUAGAGCCGAACCCUUAUGCACGGGCUUUCAAGAGCCUUGGGUCCAUUCCAAAUCUAGAUAAGUACAAGAUCUCACUAAACACAGAUAUCAAGUUGGAUCAAUAUGAUAAUGAGGAUAACCAAGAUGAGGAUUUUGGUGACAAUGAGGUGGAUGCAACACAAUCCAGGAAAUUUGUUAGUGCGAGGGAGUACUACUGCUUCAAGCUACAGGUCAGGAAGAAGCUUUUUAACAUCGUCUUGUUCGGUGGACGCCUUUUCCAACAGUGGGCUGUUGACAUGUAUAUCAAGAUUGAGACUAUGAGGCUGGACUGGUACUCAAAGCCAGAGAAUCAAAAGGGUCUUGUUGACACCAUCGUUGCCGGCGAGUCACGUGGUGAUCGGAUUGGUAAGAGAAUCGUGCUUCCACGCAUGUUUCCUGGUGGUGAUCGCGACAUGCAGCGAAGGUUCCUCGAUGCAAUGGCAAUAGUCCAACGGUGGGGUAAACCGGAUUAUUUUAUCACGAUGACUUGCAAUCCCUACUGGGAGGAGAUAACACUUAAUCUGACGCCUGGACAACUGCCACAAGACCGUCUAGACCUGGUGGCAAGGGUAUACAGGGCUAAACAGCGAGAUAUGAUGGACUUGCUAAUUAAGGCAUGCUCGAGCAUCAAGGCAGUGAAGUAUUUGUUCAAGUACAUCUAUAAAGGCCAUGAUCGGACGUCAUUUGCUUUUGAGCAGGACAUAAUCAAUGAUGGUGGAAUCAUCAAUGAAAUCCGACAAUAUAGGGAUGCACGCUAUGUAUCUCCUCCAGAGGCUAUUUACAGGAUUUUUGGUUUUAAAAUGUUUGGUGUCAGUCCAUCAGUGCUGCAGCUCCAACUUCAUUUGCCAAAUAUGCAUACAAUUGCAUUUAAAUCUGGUGAAAAUCUAGAAGAUGUUGUCGCUCGACCAUCUUCAUCUAGGUCCAUGCUUACCGAGUACUUUGAGAUGAACCGGAAGAUUCCGCAAGCACGGAAAUUGUUGUACAGAGAGUUUCCAGAGCAUUAUAGAUGGAUAGCUGGAAAAAAGAAGUGGCAGAAGAGAAGAAAUAACAGAUCGCAGAUUGGAAGACUUGUCUACGCACACCCUGCUGAAGGAGAGAGAGAGGCAUGUGAACACUUAGGCCUCAUUGAGCACGACAAGACUCUUGAUGAUUGCAUGACAGAGGCGGCCACAUUUCAGAUGCCUUGUGCCCUAAGACGGUUGUUUGCGGCUAUAUUGGUUUUUUGCGAGGCAACAGAAAUCCGACAAUUGUGGGAGAAACAUCUACCAUCAAUGUGUGAGGAUUACCGUCUUAAUGAAUCAAAUGAGUCAAUACUUGAGCAGAUGGUCCUUAGAGAUAUUACGGAUAUGUUGCAAUCCAUGGGAAAGGAUAUUAAAAACUAUGGACUUCCGGAUCUGGUAGAGACCGAUGGUUCUUAUGACGGUGAGUACAGAGAGAUAUUCUUUGUUGAUGGUCCAGGAGGCACUGGGAAGACGUACCUGUACAAGGCAUUGCUUGCUAAGAUGGUCCUUAGAGAUAUUAGGGAUAUGUUGCAAUCCAUGGGAAAGGAUAUUAAAAACUAUGGACUUCCGGAUCUGGUAGAGACCGAUGGUUCUUAUGACGGUGAGUACAGAGAGAUAUUCUUUGUUGAUGGUCCAGGAGGCACUGGGAAGACGUACCUGUACAAGGCAUUGCUUGCUAAGGCGUCCUUGAUAAUUUGGGACAAAGUCGCUAUGACAAAACGUCAAGCAGUUGAGACGCUUGAUAGAUCACUACAGGAUAUAAUGGAAUGUUCUUUGCCGUUUGGAGGAAAGGUUGUCGUCUUUGGUGGUGAUUUCAGGCAGGUCCUACCCGUUGUGAGACGUGUGACAAGAGCGCAGAUCACGGAUGCUACACUUCUGAGAUCCUAUCUUUGGGAGAAGACCCGCAAGAUACGUCUCACACGCAAUAUGCGGGCACAGGCUGAUCCUUGGUUCUCGGAAUACCUCCUAAGGAUAGGCAAUGGAACUGAAGAGACAAUUGGCGACGACUAUGUCCGUCUCCCUGACGACAUUGUCAUUGGCUAUACCGAGGAUGAAAAAGCUAUUAACAUGCUCAUCGAAGAUGUCUUCCCAUCGUUGCAUGCCAAUGCUACAUCCAGAAAGUACAUGAGUGCACGUGCUAUUCUAUCGACCAAGAACGAUCAUGUCGAUGACCUGAAUGACAAGAUGAUCUCCAGGUUUCCAGGUGAAGAAAAGUUAUACCAUAGUUUUGACUCAAUCGAGGAUGACCUACAGAAUAAUUACACAAUUGAUUUUUUGAACUCGAUCACACCAAAUGGCUUGCCCCCACAUGUUUUGAAAUUAAAGGUCAACUGCCCGGUCAUUCUGCUAUGGAACCUCGACCCUCAUAAUGGUCUAUGCAAUGGAACACGGCUUAUGAUCAGAGCCUUUCAGGAUAAUGCAAUCGAUGCAGAGAUUGUUGGUGGUCAGUAUGCUGGAAAGAGGGUGUUUAUACCUAGGAUCCCUAUGUCGCCCUCGGAGGACAUCUCACUUCCUUUCAAACUUAAGAGAAAACAGUUCCCCAUCCGUCUGAGUUUUGCGAUGACAAUUAACAAGGCACAGGGUCAGACCAUCCCAAAUGUUGGCAUUUACCUUCUCGAGCCAGAAAACAUCAAUAAGGUAGCAAAGGAUGAGGAUAUAGAUAAUAUGCAGAUUGAAGAUGUAAAGAAAGACGAGGAUACAAACACCGAGGUGGCAGAGGUGAUACAAGAAGAAUCUACUAUGGAGGAUACAAAGAAUAUGCAGGUUGAAGAGGUCAUAAAUAUGUACAUAAAUUGCAUGACUGCUACGGAGCAUCUACAAGUAAGAAAAAAAUGUGUCCAGGUGCUCGACUCGCUAGGCCCAUACAUGAGCCGCAAGGACCUCACUGAUACGCUAGAAGGACUGGAGGAUUUAUUCAAAUAUGCAUCCAAGCACAUGGGAUUAAAAUCCGAUAAGUGGACUGAUCUAGAUGUUACAACACGGAAAAGAGAAGAAUAUAUUAAGAGCAGUCUUCAGAACGAUGGGUCAUCUUGUGGUCUCUGGAUGUUAAAUUACAUGGAGUACUUCACGGGAGAUAGUCUGUCUGACACUCCCGAACAGGUUCAUAUGACAGAUUUUAGAACAAAAUUAGCUGUCAUUUUAGUCGACUCGGAAUUCAAUGAUGAUGAUAUAAGAAACCGAGACUUGGAUGAUGAUGAAACCAACACGGAUCCCACCGAUUGUAUGAUCGUCGAAAGACCUCCUAACAAACCCAAAGCAUCCAACUCAUCAUCACAAGUUGAGCUCAUCUCGCAAUCAUUUAUCCUUUCACCGUUUGUCACUCCAACAAACGACGACUUAAUGGAUGAACUUUGCUUGUUCAUCAGCAUGGUUGAUGAUAUCCCUUUGCUAGAGAGCGAAUGGGUGAAAAGCUCUCAACCUUAUCCUAUUAGUUUGAACUUGAGACAAUUAAAGAACAUAUUAAAGAAUGAUGAGUACAUGGAUGCUGAUUGUUUUAACAUGGCUGUGAGGAUACUAGCAUGCCACGACGUCCAGCUUGCUAGAGACGUCCCAACACAAUAUAUGGAUCUACGAUUCUGUUCCAUGUCCCAGUAUGCACGAGUCCCCAAGUCAUCAUGA
rnacentral:rRNA from 1 species